CCUACGGGGGGCAGCAGUGGGGAAUAUUGGUCAAUGGGCGCGAGCCUGAAGCAGCCAAGUCGCGUGAGGGAGUACUGCCCUCUGGGUUGUAAGCCUCUUUUGUCGGGGAGCAAAAGCCGGACGUGUCCGGCUGUGAGAGUACCCGAAGAAACAGAAUCGGCUAACUCCGUGCCAGCAGCCGCGGUCAUACGGAGGAUGCGAGGGUUAUCGGGAUUUAUUGGGUUUAAAGGGUGCGCAGGCGGAUUUUUAAGUCAGCGGUCAAAUCGUGGGGCUCACCCCCAUCCAGCCGUUGAAACUGGGGAUCUAGAGUGUGCUAGAGGGAGGCGGAAUGCGUGGUGUAGCGGUGAAAUGCAUAGAGAUCACGCAGAACCCCGAUUGCGAAGGCAGCAUACCGGUGCACAACUGACGCUCAGGCACGAAAGCGUGGGUAGCGAACAGGAUUAGAUACCCUAGUAGUC
rnacentral:rRNA from 1 species